GAUGAACGCUGGCGGCGUGCCUAAUACAUGCAAGUCGAGCGAACAGACAAGGAGCUUGCUCCUUUGACGUUAGCGGCGGACGGGUGAGUAACACGUGGAUAACCUACCUAUAUGACUGGGAUAACUUCGGGAAACCGGAGCUAAUACCGGAUAAUAUGUGGAACCGCAUGGUUCUAAAGUGAAAGAUGGUUUUGCUAUCACUUAUAGAUGGACCCGCGCCGUAUUAGCUAGUUGGUAAGGUAACGGCUUACCAAGGCAACGAUCCGUAGCCGACCUGAGAGGGUGAUCGGCCACACUGGAACUGAGACACGGUCCAGACUCCUACGGGAGGCAGCAGUAGGGAAUCUUACGCAAUGGGCGAAAGCCUGACGGAGCCACGCCGCGUGAGUGAUGAAGGGCUUCGGCUCGUAAAACUCUGUUAUUAGGGAAGAACAGAUGUGGAAGUAAAUGUGCACGUCUUGACGGUACCUAAUCAGAAAGCCACGGCUAACUACGUG
rnacentral:rRNA from 1 species